rnacentral:rRNA from 1 species
ACGUUGUUCGGAAUCACUGGGCUUAAAGGGCGCGUAGGCGGGCUCUCAAGUCCGGGGUGAAAUCCCACAGCUCAACUGUGGAACCGCCUCGGAUACUGGGGGUCUCGAGGGUGGUAGGGGUAUGCGGAACUAUCGGUGGAGCGGUGAAAUGCGUUGAUAUCGAUAGGAACUCCGGUGGCGAAGGCGGCAUACUGGACCACAUCUGACGCUGAGGCGCGAAAGCCAGGGGAGCAAACGGG